rnacentral:lncRNA from 1 species
UCAAAAUGAAAACUUAAAAGGAAAACAAAAUAAAGCUCACUAAUUACAAAGGCAAGCAACUUACUGAAUCCCAGUCAAAUCAUACGUCCCCUAGGCUACCUAUUUUAACAAAAUAAAAUAUCUGCCAGGGCUUGCCACUCAUUAAGAUAUCACUUGGGAAAACACAGCAAAGACUUUGGGGUAUUCAUCAGUUUGGAGGUUACAACUUCAAUUUGGACAGCCACAAGAGCCUCCAUCAAAUCCUUGCAACUACUGGAAAGGAGUGUGGAGAACCACUAAAACAGGGUAAGAUGUUGUAACAGGGAAGGAGGAGAAAGAAAGGGAAAUGUAUGGAAAAUGGAAUACAUCAGGGCAAUGCUGCUGCUGCUAUACUAAUCCCAUUGUAAUUGCUCAGUAUAUAAAGGAAUACUGCAAGCUGCUUCAUCUGGGCUCAGGCACAUGCUCCCUCUUACCUUCUGCCCCUUGCCUCACUCCCAGUCCUUUGUUGAAGAUGGCAGCCUACCCCACAAUGUAAACAAAAGCAAAUACCAACAGAUAAACCAAAUUACAACCAAGAAGCAACUUCCUCAUUUUUCUUUCUCUUGCAAAGAUACUGCAUCCUUCCCUCCAGGCAGGUGCACUCUUUCAUCCGCACGCGUAGAAACAAGGAAAUAACCUAAGAGAAAGAAUCUAAACAGGGGUGCAGGGAUCCUGAAUAUCUACCUCUAAACCAGAAAAAUGCCAGGCUGCAAGAACUUUUGCUGUUUAUCUUUACCAAUGAGCCUAUAAUGAAAAAUAAAGAGCACAUUAUGGAAUCACUAGGCACUGCAAAGGGACAGCACCUAAACCCACUGUCCCUGGGUGCAGGGCUACAGUGGUGCAGCCCAUGCCCGAGCAUACAAGUCACAAAAUGAAUAACACUUGCCAGCUGUUCUGUAAAGUCUACACACUUCAAUUUAGCCACUAUAAUCAGCGCCAAUGAAUUUUUUGACUGUUUAGCUGAAUGUACUCCAAGGGGAUCCUGCCUUUUUGCUAAAAUGAUGUUCACGCUAUCUAAUUCUCCUGCACACCCAAUGCAGGAGCACUUUUUAAAACUCUACUAAAAAGUUUGAUGUAUAGUCUGAAUUUGCAGUUACAUAAUCAAAUAUUAUAAAGAAACAACUUUAUUUUACCCACAUCAAUACAUGACUACCAUAACAGAAAAGGUGUGACCAGAGCAAUUCUGGCUAAAGCAGUCAGAAACCUGGAAUCAACUCCAAAUAUCCAAUACCCAAAUAUUUCUACACUGUUCUGGCAAUAGAAAAGUGACAUAUCAAGGGUGUAAAUUAGGGAAAAGGGAUUGCUAUGAAUCAUGUAUCUACACUACCUGUUGUGGCUCACUAUUUAAUUACUUAAGAUAAACAUAUAAUCACCAAUCAAAUCCAAAGAAAGACUCAAAGCUAUUUAGGACUCUCUGAAAAAAGCAAGUUCCAAGUCUUGUAUAAAGGGAAGCAACUGUCAUGCUCUGUAGGACUUUUUUGAAUUAAGUCUCCCAGCAAGAAGGAGGGACUAUGUAAUCGCAUAGACCUUAACACAGGCAAAAUCUGCCUGGUGGAGUGAAAUUAAAUCUUGAGUCAGUUUUAUAAGGAGUAAAAACUUUGGGCAGAAACAAGCUGAAUUUUGGGAAACAGUCCUGUGGCAUCUUAAAUAACAUAUAUGAAACUAUUUUUCAGGACUACAGCUUUCUGUAGGACUACAUAUGCUUUCUCUGUCAGAGAAAAUUGACUCAAGUCAACAAAAGGGCAAGUGUGUCCUGCCUGCAAAAUUUGGCCCACAGAGUCCAAGCAGUUUUCAGGACUAAGCACGGACCUCACUGAUGCUGGCAAGCAAAGUCAUGAAGUACAUCCUGCCUUUUUAUUUUAUAUUUGACAAACAAAAGCUCAUUAUAGGUGGUGAGAAUGGGAAACCAAUUUUCCAACUUAACUCAUUGUGAGAAUUUCUUUGAACCUGAACUUUGGAGCAAGGAUCUAGGGAACUGAUUGUUCAGAACAUAUGAAAUUGGGAAUAAAUUACAGAUUUAAAGGACUCCUAUCAGUUUCACAACAGCCUGGCAUAAGGACAAAGGAAACAGGACACCCCGAAAAACAAUGAAGCUUGUUGAAGAUACUUGUGAAGACAUAGUUUUAAAUGUGGUGACACUUAUUUCACCAAUAAAUAGGAACUAUAAAUUGUUUACAAGUUAUUAAUAUAUAAAAAAAGAGAAGCAGCAGAUACUGGAGAUUCAGUCUUUUCCUCUAAGUGGCACAGGUGAAGAGCAAGUCCCUUGUAUGGAGUUCAAGCAUUUCCCUCUCCUGGGAGGACCCCUGUCUUUGGUGCAAACAUCCCCAAAGUGGGACACUCCCCUCUUAUUUAACCUUGCAGCAAAUAGCUUUAAAAUCCCUCUCUGUCCCAGCACAGUAGCACAGAGCAACAUCAUCUUAGUACAAGGCUCUCCCUCUCGUGGUGACAGUGUUACCUACUUCAACUGUUGUUCCUCAAAAGCUGUACUAAACAGAAAAGAAGUGCAAAAAGGAGCUGAAUGUAAAUGCUGACAACCACUGAAACGUGAGACCGUUGCUUGCAUUAGCCCUGGAAGUCUACUUGGGCAACGAGGAGAUGGAAAAUGAAAGUAAUAAUGAAAACCAUAUACUAGAAUAAAGCUAAUAUUUGGACAGAGUCUUCCCUUGAUAUUUAUAUCAUUCAAGGAAAGUUGCCAAUGCAAGAAUAUUUAGAACUGUAAAAUUGAUAUCACCUCCUGUUUUCUCUCUCCUUAGAAAAGCAGAAAAUAUGCACAUAUGAAAUGAGCUUCUUAAAACAUCACAAUUCUCAAGAUGAGUAUUUCUUCAGAGAAUGAAAAAGAAAGGAUACAUGUUCAAAAAAAGCAAGAUUUCUGGAAUCACGAAUGACUGACUGUCUUUUAUGUAGAAGAUAUGUUAAAAUAGUGUUCACCAGCUGAUUAUUUUGUUAGUUUCACUUUCCCUUAGGCAAUUGUAUCUGUACACACUGCAUUCUAAAAGUACAGUCUCUAGUGUGGAUAAUCUACCUGUUUGGUACCAUCCUGUUUGUAAAACCACUUCUUAGCCUAAAAAUAUAAACUGUAAACUGUAUAACAUGCAAAAUGAAUUGAGGUGUUUAAAAAAGCAUUAGGAAAAAUAAAAGGCAACAAAGAAAUUAAAUCAAGAAACACAUUAAACUAGUAUUUAUGCUAAAUGAAUUACUGAACCUUACAAAGGAUUAGCAGGCCAAGUGUGGAAUGGGUAUGCAGCCAUUUAAAUGAUCUGGUAUUCCCAGUCAAGUGAGAACACUCUCUACAGAAAUAUGUAUGUUUCAGCAUUCAGUCAAAGGAAAAGGCAAAGGGCAUGGUCAGAAAAUGUGGACCACUGAAUCAGCACUCUGUUGCAGCAGCUAAUUGGAAUUAAUUUGGGAAAUGGCACCUGUUUGGCUUAAUGGGACAAAGCUCACCCUUCAUGCAAAAAUCUAGUUUUGUUAUCUGCGUAACUAAUAUUGAGAGGAUAGUCCCCUCCUUCCCGUACAAAUGGGUAUACACAGAGUAAAGGAAAGCCAGACUUAGAAAUCGCUGCUGGAAGACCAUAACUUUUAAACUCCAAGUAGAAAGAAAAAGUAUGUGGUAGUGGCCUCCACGUACGUGCAAAUGGCAGAUGACAAGAGAGAAUGCCAGCACUUGAUAAUUCUCAUUCUUGAAGUUCUCAUUUUAAAAUCCCAAGCUGUGGCAUAGGUAACGCUUUCCCUCUCUUCUUACUCUAAAAAAACUUUAUCAAUUUGCAGUGACACAGAUUUGCUCGUUCUCAUUGAAAAUGGUUUGUAACUGAUGUGACCAUCUCUCAUUUCUUCUCUCAUGUCUUCACAAUUAGAAGAAAUGAGACAAAAUUAAUACCUCCUCCACAACCCUCAUCCACUUGAUUUUGAACAUUUUCAUUUAGAGGUGAUAUGUUAUCCACCAAAGGAAAGAAAGUCAGCUGAAUUAGAUGUACCUCAAUUAGAAAAGUAAACAUAAAUGUCCAUACUCUCAUAAUUUUGCACUCUUAAUUUUGAACCAAGGCUUGCUGCCUGGGCCAUCUGUUGCAAGGUGUGAAUACAGAAAGGACACCCAAAGUCAUGAGCCUUGGGUGUCAAUCAGCUGUUCCUGGGCACUUUGGAUCUAGAUGUUAACAUAUCCCUAGUGACAUAUUUUUCAGAAGUUUUGUGGUAACAAUUAAAGUCCAAUGGGACUGACCCAAAAUUCAAAACCAACAGGAAUGUACUAUGAAGAUUGUAAAGGGAACAUUCACCUAGAAAAGCUUAUGAACUGAAACUAAAACUUUCAGAGGUUGUUUUCAUUUGAAAAAGGGGUGAUCAAGUGGAUAAGUAAGGAUCCAACUGGAAUAUAUUAAUAGUUGUGGAUGGAGGUAUUUCUUAUUCAAUCCACAUUCUGUGUAACUAUACAGAGAACAAUGUUUUUUCUACCCCACCGUAGUGCAGAGGAUAAUUUUAGGAAAUCUUAAAACUUUAAAGAAAUAGGAUUUGGAAGGAGUGAAAGACCACUUUUGCCAUCGUUCUCCAAGGCUAGGAAUGGAAGAGGAAAAGUCUGACGUACACUUUUAGAAAUGAAAUAACAGGACAUCUUAGAAGAGAGCUAAUAGAUAUUUGUGUUGAUUGAUUGUUCUUCUGAUAUGAAAGGGUAGCAAGGAACAAUCUCUAUUUUUUGUACAGCUUAAUACUGUUUUACCUUUUCUUUAAAAAAAUUACUUUUCUACAUCUUACUACAUAGAGAUUUUAAGAAAGCCUGAAAAAAUGCUUGUAAAGACAAUAAAGAAGCCAAUAAUAUGAAACAACACAAUAGAGCUGUAAUAAUUAUUGGUAAAUGCUUCAAAUAGCUGCAGCAGUUGAUUGGGUUGUGAAUGAUAAAUGUGAAAAAUUAUUUUUCUAUGAUCGUAGGCAGAUGCAAAAGUUAAAUGAUUAUACUAUGUAUAUAUAUUGAUAUAGAAUUGCUAUAUAUAUUGUGUACUGUAUGUUCUAGCUUUCAGAAAUACUGUAUUGUAGUGUACUGUACUUAACUAAGCAGAUCUAAAUAGCAACUUGUCAUUUUCCACAAAGUCACUAGUACUGUUAACAAAAACCAAAAAGUCUAUUUUCUCCAGUAAAAGAAAUACAUACUGUUACAGUCACAGACAUUUGGACUAUAAAGAGACAAUGUACAUUUAACCAAAGGAAAACCCCAAACCAAAAUAAAAAUCUCACCCAAAAAUCAACCAGCCAAAACUGUUGCAUUAUUGUCUUAUUCAAAAGGGGAAGGGACAUGCCACCAGUCUAAGAAGAAUAUUUACUCACAUUUUUAUGACUGAAAAUGAAAGAAAAAAGGUAGCCCACUAAAUCUUUAAUUACCCUUUCUGGAACAAGGAAAAUCCCCUAGUCUGGCAAAAGACUUAAAAGAAUAAAAUGCUGCUUUCAGGGCUAGCAUAUACCAAAAUAGGCAGCUGUAGUUAAACAUAUUCAACCCACUAACUAAAUGGGUGCAAAAUGAGUUCUAGAAAUUCUGCAGCUCUCAUGGAUUAUAUGUUGAAUGAUCUUACUGACCAAUUUCUUCUCCUCCUGAAUAUCUACUGAUAUUCAGAUAAUACCCACUAACCAUGAUCCUGAAGAGAUUUUGGCAAAGACCAAGGGAGAGAAUGUUACUUGUUAUUUGUUAUUGACUGCACAUUUGGAAUGGAUUACUCAAUCAAUAUGUUUCAGAGUACCUGAGGUGGGGAAAGAGCUGUUUGACACGAUGCUUUGGAAACUAGAGACUCCAGACCUGGAAUAUUUUAGACCCUAUCAAUAUAUUGUGCUGCUAACUAUUUAAAGGCUUGAUAAUUUUUUACUGUUAUUUUUAAGAGAGCAAACAGGCAGGUUAUUUUGCUUUGGAUUUUAUUCCUUUGUCAGGUAAACAUGUUGAAAUUCAAUGGAAAUGAGUGACUGAACUCAACAGUAUUGUUCCAGGGCUGCCAUCCCCCGUGGAUGCCUCUCUCUGCUAGUGAAGCCUGCUGAGAUGGACUGUUUUAUUUAUUUUGUGGCAGAAUGACAACAUAAGGCUCUGGGAGGCACACUUCAGCCUUCCCUUCAGAAUGGGUGCUCACAAAAAUAUCCUGGACCAAAUUUGGGUGUCACAUUUUCAUCCUAUUUGGGCAAACAUCCAACUAAGAGCAUCUGGCUAACAGAAUGCUUUUUUUGAAUAUAUGUGUGCAUAUAUAGUGUAUGAGUAGUAUACUUGCUUUUCAUUAGAGUCAUGUGCCAAUGCUCCACAGUUAAUUCUGUAAUCCUUGUUUCGUCUAAAGCCUUCCCUGCAUCAAAACCAUGCAUGUCCACACACUCAAUUAGCAAGCUCUCUGUAAAGCCAGGAAGAAGUGUUUGGCUUUCCCUGCACAUGCACAUACACACACACAGACACGCACCCACAGGCAAUAUAAUGUGAUUUUACUCAAAGAUCCCAUAGGUACCAACAGCCUAUGUGACAAAUGAAAGUAAAGGACUAAAUGGGAAAAAUUAAAAGAAAUCUGGGCAGUUGGGUGAAUAUAAUCCUGUUUCUUGAAUGCGAUGAUCCUCUUUAAUCAAGUAUAUCUUCAACAUGAGGGCUGAACUUCUAGGAGGCUUUAUAUGGUUUAAUGAAGAAAAUGGCAAUAUCCAGGUGGCAGAAAGAGAAGCAGCAAAGUGAAAUAGAAGAGGUUCCCAAUUAACAUCUAGAUCUCAGAAAUGUAUCUGCCCAUUUUGUAGGAAAAUGAUCUCAGAAAGAUACCUGCCUGUUUUGUAGGAACAGGACACUGCAGAAUCAGACAGUUGAGCACAAGUACCUAACUGAGCUCUGCACAUUCCUUGAGUGCCCCUGUGAACUUGGCAAAAAAAUCACCAACAAGUCAGUAGUAGACAGACCGAACACUGCAGAAGCCUGCAGGUCUGUCUGGAAAAUACCUAAAGCAAGCAAUGCUUUAUUACACUGGUACAAGAUUUUCCAGCAGGGACGCCUCCAGUGGGGAACUCAUGAAAGCAUAUAUAGUGUUACUGUAAUACCUAAGCCCAACGUGACAGAGAGCAUUUAUAAGAGGGAUGCUUGGGGCAUGGCUGCAUGGCUGUGAAGGAAAUUUCACAGCUCAAAGAGGGCUCAAGUGCUAAUAAAGUUUGCAUGAGGAGUGAAAACAAUAAUGCCCCCUUGGGCUGAACUGGGUAGAACUUCUCACAUGUGAUGGGAUAUUGGUAGUUCUUUUGUUUGUGUAAUGGUGCAGCAAAAGGAUAUUUUUAGAACAUACUUUUCUUAAAAAGAAUCAAGCUAAACUAACCAAAGGGGCUAUAUUUAUCUGCAGUGAA